rnacentral:lncRNA from 10 species
GUGAGACCUUCCCCAGCCACAUGGAACUAAGUGCCUUUUGCCCUCCACUAUGAUUGUGAGACCUUCCCCAGCUACAUGGACGGGACUUACAGUAUCAUAAGAAAGAUAGACAUUUAAAUCAUCUCAACAAGGACAAUGGACAUCAUGGAAUCACACAGCAGGAGAACCUCGCCUAGUCUACCGAUCAGAUACUCCAUGCAGUUGUCACCUCCUCUAUGAAGCCUCUCCUGCCCCUUCCAAGUAGAACUGUCCAUUCCAUCUGUGGCAGAGUCUGGCUACAUGUUCAUCAAACCCUGUUUCAAAUAUCCUCCUCUGCAUGUCAUUACACUGUAUCUCCCAGCCCCCUUGCAUCUACAUGAGGCCGCAUGACCACAUGCUGGGUCACUUCUGGGCCAAAAUGGUAUUGGAGAGUCCAUCUUCUCCACUCUGGCUCUCUUUCCAUGCACCAGAUAGGUGAUUUUUAGUGAUCUUUAGUGGAAGAUGAAACAGGUCUGUAUCUCUAAAUGACUUUGUGGAGUGGAGCUUCCCUUCCCAAGCUGACCCACAAUAAACUCUGAUGUGAGCAAGAAAUACAU